rnacentral:rRNA from 1 species
GACGAACGCUGGCGGCGUGCCUAAUACAUGCAAGUAGAACGCUGAAGGAGGAGCUUGCUUCUCUGGAUGAGUUGCGAACGGGUGAGUAACGCGUAGGUAACCUGCCUGGUAGCGGGGGAUAACUAUUGGAAACGAUAGCUAAUACCGCAUAAUAGCAGUUGCUGCAUGACAACUGUUUGAAAGGUGCAAUUGCACCACUACCAGAUGGACCUGCGUUGUAUUAGCUAGUUGGUGGGGUAACGGCUCACCAAGGCGACGAUACAUAGCCGACCUGAGAGGGUGAUCGGCCACACUGGGACUGAGACACGGCCCAGACUCCUACGGGAGGCAGCAGUAGGGAAUCUUCGGCAAUGGACGGAAGUCUGACCGAGCAACGCCGCGUGAGUGAAGAAGGUUUUCGGAUCGUAAAGCUCUGUUGUAAGAGAAGAACGAGUGUGAGAGUGGAAAGUUCACACUGUGACGGUAUCUUACCAGAAAGGGACGGCUAACUACGUGCCAGCAGCCGCGGUAAUACGUAGGUCCCGAGCGUUGUCCGGAUUUAUUGGGCGUAAAGCGAGCGCGGCGGUUAGAUAAGUCUGAAGUUAAGGCUGUGGCUUAACCAUAGUACGCUUUGGAAACUGUUUAACUUGAGUGCAAGAGGGGAGAGUGGAAUUCCAUGUGUAGCGGUGAAAUGCGUAGAUAUAUGGAGGAACACCGGUGGCGAAAGCGGCUCUCUGGCUUGUAACUGACGCUGAGGCUCGAAAGCGUAGGGAGCAAACAGGAUUAGAUACCCUGGUAGUCCACGCCGUAAACGAUGAGUGCUAGGUGUUAGACCCUUUCCGGGGUUUAGUGCCGUAGCUAACGCAUUAAGCACUCCGCCUGGGGAGUACGACCGCAAGGUUGAAACUCAAAGGAAUUGACGGGGGCCCGCACAAGCGGUGGAGCACGUGGUUUAAUUCGAAGCAACGCGAAGAACCUUACCAGGUCUUGACAUCCCUCUGACCGUUCUAGAGAUAGAGCUUUCCUUCGGGACAGAGGUGACAGGUGGUGCAUGGUUGUCGUCAGCUCGUGUCGUGAGAUGUUGGGUUAAGUCCCGCAACGAGCGCAACCCCUAUUGUUAGUUGCCAUCAUUUAGUUGGGCACUCUAGCGAGACUGCCGGUAAUAAACCGGAGGAAGGUGGGGAUGACGUCAAAUCAUCAUGCCCCUUAUGACCUGGGCUACACACGUGCUACAAUGGCUGGUACAACGAGUCGCAAGUCGGUGACGACAAGCUAAUCUCUUAAAGCCAGUCUCAGUUCGGAUUGUAGGCUGCAACUCGCCUACAUGAAGUCGGAAUCGCUAGUAAUCGCGGAUCAGCACGCCGCGGUGAAUACGUUCCCGGGCCU